UACGAAGGGUGCAAGCGUUAAUCGGAAUUACUGGGCGUAAAGCGCGCGUAGGUGGUUCGGUAAGUUGGAAGUGAAAUCCCCGGGCUCAACCUGGGAACUGCUUUCAAAACUGCUGAGCUAGAGUACGGUAGAGGGUGGUGGAAUUUCCUGUGUAGCGGUGAAAUGCGUAGAUAUAGGAAGGAACACCAGUGGCGAAGGCGACCACCUGGACAGAUACUGACACUGAGGUGCGAAAGCGUGGGGAGCAAACAGG
rnacentral:rRNA from 1 species